rnacentral:rRNA from 1 species
AUUGAACGCUGGCGGAAUGCUUUACACAUGCAAGUCGAACGGCAGCACGGACUUCGGUCUGGUGGUGAGUGGCGAACGGGUGAGUAAUGUAUCGGAACGUGCCCAGUCGUGGGGGAUAACGUAGUGAAAAUUACGCUAAUACCGCAUACGAUCUAUGGAUGAAAGCGGGGGAUCGCAAGACCUCGCGCGAUUGGAGCGGCCGAUAUCAGAUUAGGUAGUUGGUGGGGUAAAGGCCCACCAAGCCAACGAUCUGUAGCUGGUCUGAGAGGACGACCAGCCACACUGGAGCUGAGACACGGUCCAGACUCCUACGGGAGGCAGCAGUGGGGAAUUUUGGACAAUGGGCGAAAGCCUGAUCCAGCCAUUCCGCGUGCAGGAUGAAGGCCCUCGGGUUGUAAACUGCUUUUGUACAGAACGAAAAGGUUUCUACUAAUACUAGGAGCUCAUGACGGUACUGUAAGUAUAAGCACCGGCUAACUACGUGCCAGCAGCCGCCGUAA